GGUAGGAUCAUUAACAUUAAACACGCGUUGUAUAACCCAAUACACGCGUAUGUCUCCUAUUAUGUUCGUCACUAGUGAUUCAUCGUGUUAGCAGCCCACGGUGAACAGUUCCUAUGAGAACUAUACAUUGUCUAGUCUUGUCCUUAGUCAUUAGUAAUCAUUAUUACAACUCUUAACAACGGAUAUCUUGGUUCAUGCAUCGAUGACGAGCGCAGUGAAAUGUGAUACUUAGUGUGAAUUGCGGAAUAAAGUGAAUCAUUAAGACCUUGAACGCAUAUUGCACCCUUGAAUUUACUCGAGGGUACGUCGGUUUGAGUGCGACCUAAUAAAUAGACUAGUAAACUACUAUGUCUGAGUUGAGAUUGUAGCUAAAGGAUGCUAGAGCGCUACUUUCUUGAAAUAAUCAUAGAGGCGAAACGUACUAGCAAUGUGGGGAAUGCUUAUUAAGGAGGCUAGUAAUAGGUGAUCUAUUAGAUCGAUGAGAGGUAACACUCGAGUCUACUCGAACGAUCACUAGUAACUUGUGUCAUUAAAAAGCUUUUACGUGCGUCUUAGAGAGAGAAGUUGAUCGUGAUCUGUCUUAGGACCGAUGAAAUUAACCUCGGUCUUCUUCUCUCGAGGGUAACAUUUUUAUAGUGUGUGUAUUUUUUUUUUAAAGGAUGGUAUCGUGAUAUAUUGUCAAAAACCGAUGUAGCCGUAUCAUUUGGACUACUAGAGUCCUCUUUAAUACUUUAUAUAAAGGGAGUGUCAUUAAGGGUUACUGUUUAAAUAUAUCGAGCCCUUAAUGUCAUCCCUAGUCCCUAGUGUCUCCUAUGAAAAUUAUAACAGUCGCCUCAAAUCAGACGGGAUUACUCGCUGAAUUUAAGCAUAUAAUUAAGCGAAGGAAAAGAAACCAACGGGGAUUCCCUUAGUAACGGCGAGUGAAGCGGGAAGAGCUCACGCUUAAAAUCUCGUUAGGGUAACGCCUAUAGAGAAUUGUAGUUUCGUAACCGGUAUUCACCGGGGAGGCUGUCGAGGCUUAAGUUCCCUGGAAAGGGACACCGUAGAAGGUGAGAGUCCUGUGAAGCCUUUAGACCUUAGUCUCUUCGAUCGUGUUACCGAUUUACAGAGUCGGAUUAUUUGAGAGUAUAGUCCUAAACGGGUGGUAAAUCCCAUCUAAAGCUAAAUACUAGCAUGAAACCGAUAGCGAACAAGUACCGUGAGGGAAAGAUGCAAAGUACUUUGGAGAGAGAGUUAAAUAGGCCUUGAAAUUGUUAAGAGGGAAGCGAUAGCGACCUUAAUAUAUUUAACGAGUAAUUCACCGAGAGAGGGCUCUCUCGUGUCGUGUAUCGAGAGCUACGGUCAACGUGGCCUCAAUGUAUGUGUGAGGGGGCUCUUUUAAGGGCAUUUUACUAGUUAAAGGGAUCAGUGUCUAUUAGAGACGAUAGUAAAACGGUGUUAGGGUUGGAAUGAUAGGGUGCGCCUUAUCAGGAGGCUUAGUACAACGAUACGUUCGUUCUGAUUGAGGGGUUUAUGUGAACUAUUACGGGUGCCAAGCGGGGGCUACUAGGGAUAGAAGGGGUCUUCGAUUAGCUAUACAGCACGCUGUAUAGUUGAACGGGGGUCUCCUCUAGUCUCUAGUCCCACUCACUCGUUACGACACGUGAUGUGCAUUAAUUUAAGGGCUUUAUCGACCCGUCUUGAAACACGGACCAAGGAGUGUAACACGAGUGCAAGUGUUAUAGCGAUAUAAACUAUUACGCGAAAUGAAAGUGAACCUUAAUGUGGGAAAGGGGCUUCAACGGUAAAACGUUGUCCCUAGCACCAUAGACCGAUCUCGAGUAAAUUUAUUUAGACGGAUUUGAGUAAGAGCACGCUUGUUACGACCCGAAAGAUAGUGAACUAUGCUUGUGUAGGGUGAAGCCAGGCGAAAGUCUGGUGGAGGCUCGUAGAGGUGCUGACGUGCAAAUCGCUCUCAGAAUAUGAGUAUAGCGGCGAAAGACUAAUCGAACUAUCUAGUAGCUGGUUCCUUC
rnacentral:misc_RNA from 1 species